CGCGCUCCCGGACAAAGCUCUAGCGGGCUGCUGCGGUUGGUUUAGGGCUAAACCGACACGCGGACUCCUCCCGGUGAUUGAGCGGAAGCCUGCAAGACCGGGUACCUGCAUUUCGUCCUCACCGGAUCGUUUCCAGGGAUAAAAGUGGAAGCAUCCCUAACCGUCCCACUUUGGUGUACUUAGCUACAUUGAGGCGCUCUAGCACGUUAGAAUAUCACAGAGCCACUGGCAAGAUAGAAACACUAAUUUUGACAACUACCCAUGGAUGACAGUACUUCUGUGGAGGCUCAGGAACCUAGUGGAGAGAUUCUAGAACCUACUACAAGACAAAAUCCAACAGCAGAUUUUUUGAAGAGGAGAAAAAAAAAAGAAGAGAAAAAGGCUUCCUCUUAACAGCAAAACCCAGUUUCACUGUACUUACAUCAACCCUUCCUCUUCCCACAAGGCAACACCUCAGCACCAAGACAGAUCCUGUAGACCUGCAGUUUCUCCAGUAGGGGAAGGUGAGAGCUUAGUGAAUGCUCCCCUCCCCCCUCCGUUCUGCAGGAUGCUGCCCUAGAGGCCCUCUUCUGUCUUCCCACCCAAAUUACUGAGAGAUCAGCACAGCUGAAUACUAUGGAGAUAGCUGGGAGCAGAGAAAAGAAGUGUAUGUGUGGAGGAGGGAGGGCGUUAAAGCAAACACAAUACAAUUCAACAAAGGGUCAUGGUCUCUGCUAAUUGCCUCAUGAACCCCACCAAGAGGUUUGCCUAUGAACCUCAUAGGAUGUACAGCUGAAGUCCUUCCUUAACUGGUGAGCACUCUAUGCCCCUUCCCUGUAAGAGCCAGGGCACUCCAUGCAUGCUCCUACAGAGAGAAAGAGCUUCUGAAGAUCAUGUAUGGGAAUGUACAAACAGCCAACUCAACUCUGAGGACUGGGGCACUUCAGGAUACUGCUCUAGGGAAAAUGAGUGGGAGGCUUUCAGCAGCUGGCCUGGCUUUGUGUGAUUGAGGGAAGGUGUAAACCCUAAACUGCACCAGAAGAAGGAAUAAGAAUAGUGGAGUAGAGAUAGCUAUAGAAGUCAUAGAAAAGGUCUUAGAGACACCUAGAGUUAUUAGCUGAUCUGUCUUUCCUGAAGCAAGUCAAUAAAGCCUAGAGGAUGUGACUCAUUCUUCAAAUAUAAAACAAAAAUGCAAGUUUUUAAAGAACACACACACAAAAAUCAAGGAAACAUGACACCACUGAAAGAACACAAUAAUUUUCUAGUAACCAACCUGAAAGAAAUGGAUAUGUACAAAUUACCUGACAAAACCUAAAACAAUUACUUUAAGAAACUCAGCCAAAUAGAAGAGAAUACAGACAACUCAACAAAAUCAGGAAAACAGUAAAUAAACAAAACUAAAGGAUCAGCAAAGAGAUAGAAAUCACCAAAAAGAAUCAAACAGAAAUUCUGGAGCUGAAGAAUAUGAUGAAUAAACUGAAAAUUGUAAUAGAGAGCUUCAAAAGUAGAUUUAAUUAAUCAGAAAAAGAAUCGGACAUGAAAACAGGCCAUUUGAAAACAUACAGAAAAGAAAAAGUAAAAAACAAUGAAAAAAGUGAAGAAGUACUAUGAGAUUUACUUGAUGGGAUACCCUGAAGUAAACCAAUACAUACAAUAUGGGAGCAUCAUAAGGAAACAUGGGGAGGGAACAGAAAACUUAUUUAAAGAUAUAGUGGUGAAAAAUAUUCCCAAAUUUUGGGAUAGAGGUGGACAUCUCAUAAAAAUUAAAUGAUAGGGGCUGGGGAUUUAGCUCAGUGGUACUGCUGCCUGCCUUGCAAGCACAAUGACCUGAGUUUGAUCCCCAGUAUCAAAAAAAAAAAGAAAAAAAUUAAAUGAUACAUGAAGGCCAAAUAUUCUCAAGGAAGAUUCACCAAAAGAUUAUACUGAGACAUAUCAUACUCAAAUUAUCAAAAGUUAAAGAGAAUUUUGAAGACCAGAGGCAAAAAGCAACUUUCACCAUACAAGGGAACCUCUUUCUAUAAGGCUGUAAGUGAAUUUCUCAGCAGAAAGCAUACACUUUCAAUUUAAGGAGGAGGAGGAGAAGGAGGAGAAGAAGAGAAGAGAAAAGAAAAGAGAAGAAGAGAAGAAGAAGCCCUGUCAACCAAGAAUAUUAUGUCUGGCAAAGCUGUCCUUUAAACAUGAAGGAGAGAAAAAGACCUUCCCAGACAAGGAAAACUGAGAGAUUUCAUCACCAUAAAUGAAAUAAAGGCUAGAAAAACAAUAAAAAAGAAUAUCCAAAGAAUUGUGUUGUGAAAAGAAACAAAAUAGACAAAACUUUAGCUAGACCAACCAAUGGGGAAAAAAAGAAGACUCACAUAGAUAAUUAUAAAUGAAAGACGAGGCAUUACAGAUGAUGCCACAGAAAUACAAAAGAUCAUGAGAUGUAUCAUUCUCUUAGUCUCCAUUGCAUUGAUUUCUGCUCUGAUCUUUAUAAUUUCCUCCCUUGUACUAGCUUUGGGAUUGUCUUGUUCUUCUUUUUCCAGGAGCUUAAGAUUCAGCAUUAGGUUGUUUAUUUGAGCUUGCUCUGUUUUCCUAGUGUGGGCAUUCACUGCUAUGAAUUUCCCUCAUAGAACUGCUUUCAUUGUGUCUCAUAGAUUCCUGUAUGUUGUACUGGCAUUAUCAUUUACUUGUAGAAACUGUCUAAUUUCUUCUUUAAUUUCCUCUGUGACCCACUGGUUGUUCAGGAGCAUGUUAUUCAAUUUCCA
ensembl:lncRNA